rnacentral:snoRNA from 1 species
ACUUUAAUGUUAACAUAUUUACAUAUGCUGUGUUGUCGUUCCCUCUGCUCAGAAUAAUUGUUUCUUAACUAUUGUUAAUAAUUGUUUCUUAACUGUAGCAGCCAGGGACACUCGGUCUCAAACAU